CCGGCCACCAUCGCCGCUCACCACGCCGGCUUCCUCCCCCCUCGCCGCUUGCCACGCCGGCAUCCGUCGCCGCGUGGAGGAUGCAGAGGGGCACCGCCGCCGCCGGAGCGCUCUCCUGCACCUUCCGCUCCCCUUCCCCCUCCCCGACGUCCCCGGCGCCCCAUUGGCGGCCUCUCCUCGGCUUCCGCUCCCGCUCACGUGGCCGGGGUUGGGGCCAGCGCGCGGUCGCCGCGGCGGGGAGCACCACCACCACCUCCUCCUGCUGGCGCACGGGUUCGUCACGACGGAGUGCCACCGCCCCGUGGUGCUCCUCAAGCGCGGCUCCGACAUCCUCCACGACCCAUGGAGGGCGGAGGAGGGAUUUGCUACCGUGAGAGGGGCGUUGGUGAAGCGUCCCAACUUCGACUGCGAGCGACCGCAUCCCAACAGUAAUCAAUCUUUCUCUCUUUCCUGGGCUAGCUGAUGCUAGUUGCUUAUCAAAGUUCUUGAAUCUGAUGAAUGCAGAAACCUCUAAUCUAGUAAAGCAAGUCAAUUCAUGCUGUAACAAUAUGAUCUCUGACAAGAAACUGAAUUCCUAGUUUCUGCAAAUGCAAGUGCAGUCAUAAAUACGAAUAUUCGUGAAGUUUCAUAGAAACUAGAUAAAAAAAACAGAAAGUGUUUACUUUCAGAAAUCCACAGUUGCUAUUUUCAUAGAUCUUCAAAACUGAAUAGUGUUUUAGUCCAUUUGCCAACAAAAAGAACAAGAGGUGCAGAUAACAGCUUACUUGGGGGAUACCAUGGAUCAUGCUUGAUUUGAUGAGCUCAAUGGUCAGGGGCUUUUGCUGAAUCUUUCUCCUGAAACUCUUCAUCUGUAGGGUGAAACCGGAAACCAGGCAGAAGUACAUCAUCUGACUUGUCCAUAUCAGUUCUCCCAUCCAUAAUUCAAGAGAGUUAAAGCCUUAUACCAGCUGCACUACCUUUGUGGAAGUAGAGAAUGAUUUUAAGGCUGAAAUUGCAUAGGUCAUGAGAAUGGCACUUCGAUGGAUCUAAUACAAGAAGUUAAAAGAGGAAGAGAGGAUGAACUGCAUCUGAGCUUCAUGAAACUUCCCUAAAUCGUCAUACUUUAUGCCGGUACAUGAGAAAUGGAGUUUUAAUAUAUGGUUUAAAAUGAAAUUACAACUGCUUGAACAUGACGAUGAGGCCCACAGAUGCCUGGUCUACAUUGAGGUUGGUAUGCUUUGGACAUGUGACUUCAGUGAAUUUUGAACUAUUUGGACGUGUUAUCUUAUUUUGAUCAGUUAAUUGUGGUUGGACUCAGUGUGGACUUGGUCAGUGAUGUACGAUCUUAUGUUUCUAUCUAGGAUUUGGUCGAACUGCUGUAACUGAACCUAGUUUGCUUUUCUGGCUUGAUUUGGUGAAGAUGUAUGCAUUGAACUUAUUUAUUUUGCUAUGGUCAAUGUACUGAUGUAUAUGAAUAUGACCAUAUUGUGAUCUAUGAGUGAACCUGUGUGGUGAUAGCAUGUGCUAUAUUGGAUGUUAAGUGGGCUUGUGAAGUGAUGUAUUGAUUGUUAACCGGGCAAUCAUUUGAGAUACAUGGG
rnacentral:lncRNA from 1 species